rnacentral:rRNA from 6 species
CACAAGACUCUCGGCAACGGAUAUCUCGGCUCUCGCAUCGAUGAAGAACGUAGCAAAAUGCGAUACCUGGUGUGAAUUGCAGAAUCCCGUGAACCAUCGAGUUUUUGAACGCAAGUUGCGCCCGAGGCCUUUUGGUCGAGGGCACGUCUGCCUGGGCGUCACGC